rnacentral:lncRNA from 1 species
GGGUGGCCACCUUUUAUAUGGUAGACUAGGUCAUAAGACCUAGUCUAACAAGGAGUCCUUGGGGUGUCCAAGAGUAAUUUUUGACUCCUAUAUCAUGGAAUAUGGGGCGGCCUCCUUUUAUAUGGCAGACUAGGUCAUAAGACCUAGUCUAACAAGGAGUCCUUGGGGCAUCCAACUCUUGGACGCCCCCUAUCUCAUUUAUUUCAUGGAUAGUAUGAAAAUAACCAUAAAAGGAGCAAUAAAAAGGAGGAUAAACAUGGG